rnacentral:misc_RNA from 1 species
CGCCGCCUUUCUCUCUGAAGCGAUGCUCUCUCUCUCAACAAGGAAGAAAAUCCCAGAUACCAAAUAUUGAAAUAAAAAAAAAAAAAGGAAAAACCAGGCAAACACUCCAAAUAUUUUCUGUCACGCGCGCUCAGCCUAUAAAAUUUUCCCGAGAAAACGAAAUAUGGACUCGACGCCCGUGAAUUGGGAAGCUUUGGACUGUCUUGUCAUUGAUUUUGCGAAAUCAGAGAAUUUAAUCGAGGAUUCCUUUUCUUCUCCAUCGCCAUUAUCUUCUCCUACUCUUUCUCCUUCCCCUUCCGUCUCCUCUUCGUCUUACCAAUCCAGAUUGAUCAUUCGCCAGAUCAGACGGUGCUUGGAGGCUGGUGACAUUGAUUCAGCCAUCGAUCUUCUCCGGACUCACGCUCCUUUCGUCCUCGAUGACCAUAGGCUUCUGUUUCGGUUGCAGAAGCAGAAAUUUAUUGAGCUAUUGAGGAGCGGGACGGAAGAGGCUAGAGAUUCUGCAAUUGAAUGCAUAAGAACGG